AUCCUGCCUUCGGAAGCCACUGCUAACCGCUUUCUCUGCCCUUCUCUACCUACAUAAGCGCGAGGGAGCACGCCUCCCGGCCUCUCCUCAUCCAAUUCCUAUGCCCUGCACCCGCAGACGGGGAGCUCGCGUCUUCCUUCGGAUGGUGGAUGCAUGCAUGCAUGGUGAGCAACUCGCCAACAAGGACCCCGCCUAUUCUUUGUAUUCGGAUUUGGGGCUCACGAUCAUGACUUGUUUGAUGGAAUGACCAGCUGAGGAGAAUUUUGCCGUAUGCUAAUAUUUGAGUAGUUGCGCGUUGUCUGACGAGAUAACCACACAGUUCCAGAUGAAGGCAGCUCUCCUUUCUCUGCUAUCCCAAGUGCCUGCACCGCUCUUGCAUGACGAAACAAUAAGCGCCAUUUUUAAAUUUCAGUCACACAGAUGAGUGUUGGUGUUAGUUAGCUUGGUUAAAUGUAUGUUUUUUUUGGCAUCUAUCUCGUUGUUAUUGCAUAUGUGCGUAAUAUAGUGGUGCUGUGGUUUUG
rnacentral:lncRNA from 7 species